AUGACGAUAGUUGAUGAUGCUAGAAUCUGGAUCUGCGGCAGUUUUCGUAGGAAGGAUUCAAGACAUUAUUCCUUCUUCAUCUUCUUCCUGCAAAUUAGCACAAAUAUUUGUACAAAUUGUUGUGUUGUUAUAGUUGUUAUCCUUGUAAUGUUGUUGUUGUUCUUUGUAUCUGUCAUAAAAAGAGAAAACAAAAUUUUAUUGAAAAUUAAUUUUCCUUUUCUACAAACUUUUGUUAGAUGUUAA